CCACAUCAUAUGCACGACUUGCAACCUUGCUGCACUUCAAGCCGUUUCUGGCAUAAUCAAUAUAUGGGGACUGCAAAGCACGCCCUGGUCGUGCUGGCCUCCUAGGCGGAGGUUGAUACGCAGGUGUGUGUGAAGUGCUGGGAGCAGAUUGUAGACCAUAGGUUGUAGCUGAUGUUGUCUUUUCAACUCUUGUUGGCUUCCUUUCUGAAUGUUCAAUUGGGUUAUCUGUAGGUACAGGAGUUUGCUUAACUGCACUGCUAGAAAGUAACUUAUCUGUCCUAUUCCUUUCUAUAUCUUCAAUUUGGGCAUCAAGUUCUUUAAAUUGUUCUUCACUUAAAUUGUCCCAAAAAUAAUCAUCAUCAUAUUUCCUUGCGUUCCUUUCUGAAUUACAUUCACUUGGCUUUGAUGGUGGACGUUCACGGGGUGUGGGAAAAUCAAUGAAUCUCAUAAUGUCCAUUGGUGGGGGAUCAAAAUCCCAUUUAGAGUGCUUUUCUGAUUUUUCUUUGUUUUCCACAACACUAGCAGAAGGAGGGAGCCUUUAGCCAUGAAAAAAGAACAAAAAAUUAGUGUUAGUACUGUUGUGUUACUAGAAAAAAACUUGAUUUAAAAACAAUGACAAAAAAAUGCUAUCUAUUCAUAGUUGCAAUACUAUCUCUCCAUAGUCGAGCAAUUUUAUUCAAAUGACAUAACAAAGGAGUGAUACUAGUGUAGGUGACCAUUUAACACAUAAACACAACUGACCCAUAAAGUAUGAAAAAAUAGACAAAAAAAAAUAUAAUUUCUACCAAAUUACAAAUAACUUGCCUCACUAAUAAAUAUUAAGUUGCUUAACACAAAAAAAUAUAUCCCAUUUACCUCAGCCUUUCCCUUCUUGAUUGAGAAGGAACAACUUCUAGUGGUGUUGGUUCUGAUUCCCUUGAAUCACCAGCCGGUGCAUCAACUUUAGUGUGCUUUUUUGAUUUUUCAUUCUUUUCCACAACACUAGCAGGAGGAGGGAGCCUUUAGCCAUGAAAAAAAACAAAAAAAAGGGCUUAGUACUGUUAUGUUACUAGAAAAAAACUUGAUUUAAAAACAAGGACAAAAAAUGCUAUCUGCUCAUAGUUGCAAAUACUAUCUCUCCAUAGUCGAUCAACUCAUUGAAGUGACAUAACAAAAAGAUUGAUACUAGUAUAGGUGACCAUUUAACACAGAAACGCGGCUGCCCCAUAAGUAUAAAAAUAGACACACAAAAAAAAUUGCUACCAAAUUACAAAUAACUUGCCUCACUACUAAUAUUAACUUGCUUAAUAACUAAAAUUGCACGCAUAUUUUAAAAGUGGUUCUCUACUACUCAUAAACACUUAGAAACACAUGCACCAAAAUGCAUUGUUUUAGGAUUCAUCUAGCCUGUUGCACACUCCAGCUUUCCUGCAACAGAAAAAAGUUGGCAAAAAUAAAUCAACUUUGGUGUCAACUUUACUAUAACAACAUGGCAGAAAAAAGCGUGUGGAGCUAGAAAAAUGUAAUUUUUUGUGUGGGGUGGGGUAGGAAGCAGAGGUGCAAAUAUUUAUUCAAAAAAAUUACUGAAAAAAUCAAUCCAAUAGAAACUGUAACAUACUUAACACAAAAAAAAUAUAUCUCAUUUACCUCAGCCUUUCCCUUCUUGAUUGAGAAGGAACAACUUCUAGUGGUGUUGGUUCUGUUUCCCUUGAAUCACCAGCCGGUGGAUCAACUUUGUUGGUUGCAUCAUCCUCACCAGAGACACCCUCAUCCUCUAGCUCCACUUCUUUGGCCACCUCCUCAUCCUCUAGCUCCACUUCUUUGUCCACCUCCUCAUCUUCCUCGUCCUCGUCCUCAUCCUCGUCCUCCAUCCAAUCCUCCUCCUCCUCCUCCUCAUCCUCCUCGUCCUCCUCGAUCUCUUCAUCUUCAUCAACAUCCUGCUUGUGAGUAUUGGUAGUUCUUUUCCGUGUUGAUCUUCUGGGCUCCUCAUCCCCUUUGUCUUCAUUUGUGUUCUUUUGAUUAGGAUUGGUAGUUCUUCUCCGUCUAGCUGUUCUGGUCUCCUCUUGCUCCUCAGAAUCAUCACUAAUUGUGGACACCUCACUUAUAAAUGUUCCUAUCACUUCAGUGAAACCGAUACAAGCUUUCUUGACAAUUUCAGACAACUUCCUUUUCUUCUGUAAUUAAAAAAAGUGUAAAAAAUGUUAGCUCAUAAGUGAUAUGUAUCCCUUAAUAUUGUAACAUCUAUUUCAGCUGAUAUGUAUGCCUAUUUUCAAGAAAACUAUGUAGUUUCUGAAGCAAAAAAGACCCUGGAAAAAAAGGUAAUCUAUAUAAAAACAAAGUGCUCACACGUCUUUAUAUGGGUUUCUACACUUCCUUUUCAAGAACACAUAGACAACUCAUUCGCUGUCACUUGCUUUUGGAAGGUGCUAUCUAUAACAAUUGAUUCCAGGAUUCAGCUGCGCCCAACAGAGCAUACCUUUGGCAGUUUAAUCACUGCCACAUCUCUGUCAUCAGGCAGCUCGGCUGUGCUUGACCAAGUAUUCGUGAGUGUGCUGAAAUCUGGCUGUUCUAGUGACCUCUAUGUGGGAAGUGCUCUGGUUAGCGCUUUUGCGAGACAUGGCUUGAUUGAUGAAGCUAAGGACAUCUUUCUCAGUUUCAAAAAAGAAAAAGAAUGCAGUCACCUUAAACGGAUUGAUAGUUGGCUUGGUCAAGCAACACUGCAGUGUAAGAAGCAGUAAAAAGUUUUUUGUGGGAACAAGGAAUACUAUUGUUGUAUGUUGUGUUGCUCAGUGCCAUAGCUGAAUAUUCUAUACCUGAAAGAAGGUUUGAGGAUCAACAAACUUCUAGUGGUGUUGGUUCUGUUUCCCUUGAAUCACCGGCCGGUGGAUCAACUUUGUUGGUUGCAUCAUCCUCACCAGAGACACCCUCAUCCUCUAGCUCCACUUCUUUGGCCACCUCCUCAUCCUCUAGCUCCACUUCUUUGUCCACCUCCUCAUCUUCCUCGUCCUCGUCCUCAUCCUCGUCCUCCUUCCAAUCCUCCUCCUCCUCCUCCUCAUCCUCCUCGUCCUCCUCGAUCUCUUCAUCUUCAUCAACAUCCUCUUCUAUUCCUCCAGUCGACUCAAAGGAGCGAGGGGUUCAAUGCUUUGUUGAAGAAGUAUGUCAACCCAAACUUGUCAGUGCUACAGUUUGUGAGGCAGUACCAGAAAAUACAAGAAAAGUGUCUGGUUGCACAGGAUGGGCAAGACUUCAGGACCGAUGAGAAUGAGCGAAGACGAUGGUCAAGGCAUCCACUUGAGAAGCAUGCUUCCACUGUAUACACAAAGAAUAUGUUUUACAGGUUCUCCAAAGAGUUUGAGAAAACUGCAGAAUAUGAUGUGAAGCCUGUAGGGCAGUUCCAAUAUUGGUUGGAGCCCAAUAAUAGCUUUGUUUUUGGGUAUGGAAAAAGGAACUAUCUUGUUACAGCAAUAGAAGAGGAUGAAAGCUAUUGCUGCGAGUGCAGCAAGUUUGAUAGGGAUGGAAUCAUUUGCUGCCACAUUAUGAGAGUUAUGGUCAGAAUGGGUGUGAAAUUAAUACCAGAAAGGUACAUCCUUAAAAGGUGGACGCAACAAGCAAUUGCUAGUGAUACUAACCAGGUCCAAAAUGUGAAUGCACCAGUGGGACUUGUGGCCCGUGGGAUGCCAUUGACUAGUGAGAAAACUUUGAGAUUUACCAACGCAACCACCGCGUUUGCAGCAAUAGCAGUGGAAGGUUGUACAAAUGAUGAAAACUAUGCUAUUUUGGAGAAGCACAUCAAGGAGAUGCGAUCUGAAUUUGAAGAAAUUAAGAAAAGGACGAUGGCAAAUAGGCAAAACACUAGUGGUGCAGAAGGUGGUGCUACAGAAGGUGCACAAAAUGGUACAGGUGUCUCUACUCUAACUGGACCUUCAUUGCAAACUGCAAGUUUAAAAAACUAGACACUAUAUUCUGCUUUGCUUCAUUUUUGUAUGUCUGUACUAUAUUGAUUAGUUGCUUGUUGCAUUUCACAUUGUAGGUGCAGUGGCUGGUCCAAAUACAUCAAGUGUAGCGAACCCCCCAAAAUCAAAAGCUAAAGGGCGCAGGAAGGAGAAGGCACACAAAAAAGGGAUGAAUGGUCAAGCGAAGAGGAAGAAUAAGUGCAGCAUUUGCAAAUCAUAUGAUCACAAUGCACAGAGAUGCCCGGACAAACUCAAAAAAAAAAUAAAAACAGUUUCUUAGUGGGAAUACAUACCUAGCAAAUAUUCAUUUUACAUCUCCAUGCAAUAUUGUUUUCCGGAUGUUGGAGCCAUUUGUAUGUGAGCAUCUUUCGAAUAGUUGGCAUAUCUUUUUCCUUAAACUCUGGCAUGUUAAUACCAUUCCAGUGUUCACAGUGCAUUAGCAUGUGGAACCCGCAGUCAUGACUGCAAAAAAAAAGUCAUAAUCAUAUGGAGGAUGACAGAAACUUUAGAUAUGAAAAUAAAUAUGUAUGUUGAACUGUUGACCUACUUGUUUGACUGCAAUGGAACAUUAAUAUCAAUCAGUUGGUACUUGUCAAUAUUCUUCCUUGAAUUAGGGUAAUGUUUGCGCCAAAGUUCCUUAAUUGCAGUGAUCAAAUUGUUGCAGCAUGUCUUCAAGUUAAUGUCAGCGAGAGACCUCAUAGAAUCGAGAACUUCAAACCUUUCUUCCCUUAGGUUCAAGACUAGAAGGAAGAAGUGGCCCACUGUUCUAUCAAGCCUUUUGAAACGAAUAUUUUGCAAUACAGGAAACAUGACCUACAAAAAAAAAUGCUAGCAAAAAAAUGAGAAUAGCUACUAAAACCAAAAAAAAGGCUUCAUAGCAUCUAUAUUGCCAGAAAAAACAUAAUCCUUGAGUGAUAUAACAGCUAGCAGGCUUCUAAAAAAAUAAAAAUAAAAAAAUGGUCGUGAAUCGAAUUGAGAUAUGGACAAUUUAACAUAGGAACUACCUGUUGUUCUCUGCCCUACACAUGUCAUAUUUUGUUAUUUUCUAUAAAUUGCUCCACAAAUUUUAGAACACAAAAACAAAAAGUUAUGAUGGUAGGACACCAAGAUUGCAUAUUUUUUUUUAAAAAAAAAGUAUAACCUAAAACGAAACAAUAUUAUAGCCUAAUGAACAUAGUUAAAAUGCCUAUUUCGAAAAAAAAGAAGAGGAUUAAGUGGACGAUCAAUUACCAAUUGAGAACGGUCUAGGUGAUGGAGGCUUCUUUGGAAAGCACAAUUAAUCUCCCCAUUAUCCAGAAUCCCAUCUUGUAGAAAAGACUGUAAAAAAAGAGAAUUAAAAAAAUAAUGUUAGAAAAAAAGUGCUUGUUUGAAAAAAAUAAGCAUACAAACUAAGAAACAUCAGUAAAAGUAAAAAGAAAAGGGGGGAUUCUCACAGCUAUUCUUAGUGGGAGUAUUUGUUUUACAGGGAUCUUGGCCUUUCUGUCUUUUAAUGCAUAUAUAGCAAUUUCAGCUACUGUGUUGAAUAAUUUUCCACCUGGUUUAACUGAUUCAGAAAGGUGCUUCAAGCUCACAUAGUAAUCUGGAUAACUCGCUGCGUACAACAUAGAUGGGUCAUAGUUAAAAAAACAAAAAUACAAAAUGAAUUCGAGAGUUUAACAGGCGGAAAUGCCAGUCAAAAAAGAAAAAGUUGCACAUACUCUCCUUGGCUUGAGCUUUGACUCGAACUCCUGGUUGACCUUCUAGUGGCCGAGCAUACCACAUCAUAUGCACGACUUGCAACCUUGCUGCACUUCAAGCCGUUUCUGGCAUAAUCAAUAUAUGGGGACUGCAAAGCACGCCCUGGUCGUGCUGGCCUCCUAGGCGGAGGUUGAUACGCAGGUGUGUGUGAAGUGCUGGGAGCAGAUUGUAGACCAUAGGUUGUAGCUGAUGUUGUCUUUUCAACUCUUGUUGGCUUCCUUUCUGAAUGUUCAAUUGGGUUAUCUGUAGGUACAGGAGUUUGCUUAACUGCACUGCUAGAAAGUAACUUAUCUGUCCUAUUCCUUUCUAUAUCUUCAAUUUGGGCAUCAAGUUCUUUAAAUUGUUCUUCACUUAAAUUGUCCCAAAAAUAAU
rnacentral:lncRNA from 1 species